rnacentral:lncRNA from 1 species
CAUUUAUUAAAGAACUUCAAAGUCAUUUUUUAAUUACUAAAUUCAAAAGGUAUAACGGUCAAAAGAGAGUUUGAAACUUUCGACAUAUAUAUUUAAGCAAACGAUGAGAGCGUACGUGUCAUUUUUCCUACAUACAGGUUAAAAAAUCUUACUAGAAACUUCCAUUAACAAGAAUGUAUAAGUAUAAAUUAUAGGAUUUAAUGUAUCAAAAAAAUUAUAAAUAUGAGAUUGAUUUUUAAUAAAAAUUAAUUAAUAGAGUGAAAAUAUCUGCCAAUCAAUUGUUAAAUCUCUAAGUGCAUGAGUCACAAAAGAUUUCUCAUAGUAGCUCCUCACAACUUUGUUUUGUAAUUUGUAUGAACUCAUAACCUUUUUAUUACCACCAUAAAAUAAUUGACAACAUCACAAUUUGUCAAUUUGCAAUUUAUAUAAAUCGUUCACUUUUCUCUUACAACAGUUAAAAAAUAUGCACUGUAGGGCCAAAAUUGUAGUUUACUUAAUACUUUAUUUUAAUCAUUCUCAACUUGAGUGAUGCUAACGACACCCUCUUUUUCUCUCUUAAAACACCUCUUUGGUACUUACAUUUCGGAUUAUAGUUGAAAUUUUAUUGGAAGACAACAAUAAAAUGUGUCAAAUGUCGGAUUAUAGCUAACGAGACCUAUGCAUUUUGGGAACCUCCAAUGAAAUGUGUCAAAUGUCGAGCAGAAGGUCCAUGUAUCUACAGAAUCAUAUGCAAAAUAUGCGCUAACUUUUGUGAGGGACAAAAAUGUAAUAUAUAAAAACAUGUAAACAUAUACAGCAGCACAACCCGGGAGGAUUUAUUUAACGAAUUUGUAUCAAUUCGAAGUUUCAAUUGAAUUGCGUGAACGUUUUAUAAUUUUCUACAUUCGUGAUUCUGCACCAAUGUAAGCAGUGAAGUAGUCAGAAAAUCGAAGUAACGGGGAUAGAAUUUUUUACCAGUGUAAAAUGUAAAGAAACAUUGAUGUCCAUAUGUCGUAUCUGAGUUUUAGCUAGGAAUCAAGGCUUUAAAACAAAGGCAGUAAAAUGCCCAGAUCACAAGAAGCUAACAUAUGAUUUUUAUUUUUAUUUUUAAAUAAUGAAUUUAAUGGAUUCCAUUCGAUUGGAAAAUUGUUUAAUAGAUUCCAUGCAAUUGGCCAUUUAUAUUUAAUAAAUAGAUAAGA